UAGGGAAUCUUCGGCAAUGGACGGAAGUCUGACCGAGCAACGCCGCGUGAGUGAAGAAGGUUUUCGGAUCGUAAAGCUCUGUUGUUAGAGAAGAACGUUGGUAGGAGUGGAAAAUCUACUAAGUGACGGUAACUAACCAGAAAGGGACGGCUAACUACGUGCCAGCAGCCGCGGUAAUACGUAGGUCCCGAGCGUUGUCCGGAUUUAUUGGGCGUAAAGCGAGCGCAGGCGGUUCUUUAAGUCUGAAGUUAAAGGCAGUGGCUUAACCAUUGUACGCUUUGGAAACUGGAGGACUUGAGUGCAGAAGGGGAGAGUGGAAUUCCAUGUGUAGCGGUGAAAUGCGUAGAUAUAUGGAGGAACACCGGUGGCGAAAGCGGCUCUCUGGUCUGAAACUGACGCUGAGGCUCGAAAGCGUGGGGAGCAAACAGG
rnacentral:rRNA from 1 species